GUCCCCCUGUGACCCGCUCCCACCAAAUGGCUGCCCCCCCGGCCCCGGCAGGGCUCUCCACACAACGGAGGGGCUGUGUGACCUGCCUGCUCCCAACUUGGUUGCUAUAGGAAAGGGAAGAGGCUGGAGAGAAUGUGUGGGGCCUAUUCACACCCCCAGCCCCGAUUCACGGUGCCCCUGAGGUGUGAGAGCAAAGAUAUCUCUGGAGGAAGCAAUCCCCAGGGACUGCAGUGUGGAAGCUCUGGAGAGCCUUGUCGCAUGUGGACCAGCUCCCACCACAUUCUGAUGAACCAAGGCCAACUAGCACACCAAUUUCAGACCAAGCCAGCAGAGGUCACAGUAGGUCCAACAAAUUCUCCAUGCCCUUGUCCAGCUCAGUGUGCCCUCAGAGUUCACCAUUGACUGACUGGUAUUAAACCCUCAUCCUACUCAACAGGCUGAGCAAACCUGACAAAGCCAGGUUUUGGCUGCAGAGUACCUUCCUGGAGGGAGCAAAUAGCUGCAGGAGACUUGGGCUGUGGCUUGGUUGUAACUUUCUUCCCCAGUGUGUGCUCCUGUUGCAGCUAGUGUGCAAUAUCUUGGUGUUAAAAUCAGUCAUGAGGGUGUGGACGUGUUCUCCUCCUGUCAUUGCACAGAGGAAAAUCACAAGACGUGCCAGCCUGUCAGGCUCCUUUAUAUUCCCAGACCUCUCACCUUCAUACUCCCUGUGCCAAAUUCAUGCCCAGGCUGGAGGGUGUUCCUGCUACAUGAAGGUGAUCUGGUCUGCAGGGAAGCUGGGUCCACGUCUUCUUGUGCUGUGUUACCACCUUACCAGCAGCUGCUCUAGGAGUCUCCUGAGCAUCUCCAUGCCACAAUCUGGGUGGAUCCCUGUUGCAUUGGGCUUUCCUGUGGUCUUCCACAAGAGCUGGGAUGAUCCCCGUGAAGAUACAUGUACUGCAGGGGCAGGUAGGGUUGCAAACAACCAGUCCAUGUCCCUGCUCAACUACAGCUCCAAAAGGAAAAUGCAGGCAUGGCAAAUGCAAGACCAAAUGUAUAGUUUUGUAUACAGAGACACUGGGGAUUUCCUCCUCCAUUUCUAGCAACAUCAUCUUGGGCAGAGAAGAAGCAGAAGUAAAAAACUAUUUUUUAAAAAGUAAAUAUAGGAGCCAUGAAGGUCUGUAUGCCUUUGCUGAUGUCAAGAUCUGCACAGGAUCAGGGUCUGGUUAACUGAGGUCUCCCACAGUCUACUGGACCACACACGAGGACACCUUUCUUGCUGAAGACUUUACUGGUACAAUGCCUUGGUGGCUUCAGAACCCACCAUGGCUAUGCCAUGUGGCAUUUCCCGAUGGCGAAAAUGCCCACGUUCUGCUAUGGAAGGCGUGAGAUAGCUGUGGCUGGUGAGCUGGCGAAGCGAAGCCUUAUUCCUGUAGGUCUCUGCCACUGGAGGGGGACAGAGCACCUCGCUCAGGGGUAGGUGCCCCUACACCCCUCCCAGAAGAGAUCCUCCCAUGCUGCAGGGCUCUCAUCCAGUUCAUCCUGGUGGAUGGGCCGCUGCUUGCAAUGCCGCGCCCUGGAGUGGGUCAUCGCGGGAUUGCGCUUUUAGCAGAGGAGGGGCGCCGUUUGGCAAGAAGGCAGCAUUUCACACAAUAGCAGUGAAUCCACUGAACAUUGCUGAGCCUGCCAACAUGGGUGGCCCAGCACAUCCAGGGAGGGGUGUUGAGCAGGGGCUCUCUGGAGAUAAAUGCAAACUUCCUUUGAACUUCAAGUAUGCUCCUGGUGGUCUGUGAUUUCCAACUGCUUUCUUGUCACCUUUGGCCCUUGAAGAGCCAUUCACCAUCUUUCCCAUUAGUCCAUGGCUUGAAUUGCUAGAGCAGGGCAGUGCUGCUGCUGUGCCCUAUCCUUGGCUGAUCUGCAGAUGCAUUCUGCAGAUCCUGGAAGCAAUGCUUAGAGCAGCAGCUACAUCGGCUGGGUUCAGUGCUGGGCUGGGCUGACCAAGACCACCUGCAAGAGGUGCCACACUAAUACACCAUGGUGAGGUGGGUCCUGGGCUCUGAAAUGGCAAAUUUUGCCUGGUAGAGCUUCCCAUGGAGCAGUGCAUUGAGAGGAUCUCACCAAAAAGACAUGGUCUCAGUUUUGGUCAAGAGGAGGCCACCUGGACAGCUCAUGCCUUGCUCACCUACUGGGCUCUAGUGCUGCUGUUGUGCCAAAUACCACAGAGAACUGGGUGGCAACUCCCCUUGCACAUUUUGGAAGGGUGUGGUGACCUGGGAGAGGCUUUCCCACACUGGGGUACCCUGAGGAGCAGACACCUCUCUCCUGACCAGCUUGCUGUGGCCGAUGAGACCUGAUCGAUGAAUGAAGGUGGCACGCUGCCAUCAGGCUGCAUUGUGCAACAGUGCGUGAUGCAACUGAACUUUACAUAACCUGAUGCAACACUUAGAGCUGGAGUUUAAAGCUGCAGGUCCUGGGUCAUUACUGGUGGAUGUACCUCCCUGGUGUAUACAUGCAUGAGGUCACCCAGUGUGUGGACAGUAGCACUGCUCCAGGCAGCUCCAGCUUUACUCUUGGGCUUGAAAUUGCUUCAAUCAACCAGCCAACCAACCAUGGCUCCAUGGAAUCCAUGAGGAAAACUAGACCAAGGGCAGAGGCAAGAUCCACAUUUAUUGCAGACAGCAACUGUGGAAAUGUCAUCCAUGCCGCUCAGCUUGUGCUCUCCAUUCCUAUCUGUGGCUCAUUCCAGCCCAAAACAUCUUUGCACACUCCUGCCCUUCAGCCUUUCCUGGUCCAGCCGUGGACCCCAGCUCUGCCUGUGUGCUGCAGCCUCCCAAUGCCUGUGAUAGCACAGUCCUCCUUUGCAGGCCCUCUCCCCCAGAUACUUCUGAACAGCUUCCUCUUUUUGUGUGAAAUCAUGGCUUGGAGCUCCAUGCUUUGUUAGACAGGCUGCCUUGAACUGAGCAGAGCUGAUGCUUAGCCUGGUGCUUUUGGAAAGGUGGGAGUAUUCCUCUCCUGAGGCAGGACACCAAUGCUCUGCAAAACAUGUAAGAUAAUUGCCUUAAAGAAAAUUGGCUUAAACCUGACUUUCACUUUGUCCAUACUGAGCUUCAGGCCAAAGUAAUUUCUCAUCUUUUCUUUGACAUUUAUCAUAUUUAAGUUAAAAGAAAACAGAGAGGAGUUACUGGCCUGUUGUUUUCUGUACAGCAAUGAGAGUUUGCAGCUGUUCUGAGGUCUGUCGUGUGCGUGGUGUGUGAACAAGGCAGGGGGAGCAGGAACACGUCAAAGAGGAAGAAAAAUCCCCACCAAAUAAGCAGUCAUGGCAUUUAAAUUCCUCUCUGAAACAGAGGAAUCCUGUAAUGCCCCUAAUGACUGUUGCAUGAGUCCAGCCUAGGUAGCAUAACUGCAUUAGCUUCCUUGGGCUUUUCUCUCUUCCUCUGCCCUCCCAGCCAGUCCCCGCUGAGUGAUGUGGUUCUCAUGCAGGCAAGAGAAUGAAGCGGAGCCUGGGAAGAACCCAGUAUUCUUUUUGUGUGAGGAUCAGGCUAGCACAACUCCAAGUAUCACCUGGCUUUCCCUUCCCCCCCUUAAAGGAAGCUAAUCCUGGGCAUCACCAGCUCUGCCAAGUUUACAUGGAAAAUACCACUAGCAGGACCAGCAACUCCUUCUGAAACUGGACUGGGAGGGGACAAGCUGGUAUCCCCUUUCUGAUGUGACUCUGCACCUGUGACUCAUUGACAUCUCAGUACCUUUCCAACAAUGCUGUUGUGCCUGUAGUCAGUGCUUGGGUGCCUGGUGAAACUUCUUUCUUUUCAGCAUUUUUUUGCCAGGCCCCAAUGAUGUAACACCCCAGGUGAAUUGCCACAGCCCUGCCAGGAUAUGCUGUGGUGCCAGAAGGAAGGUGUGAAAAAUGCCUUUCCCUUCCCGGGUGCCUGGUGUAUUGAUGCACUGUCCCCCCAGUUCUCUCUUUUCCCGAAGAUGCAUGGGCCCCCUUUCUCUGCUCCUAAUUGUGCCCUCCACAGCUGAUGCACAUCAGACAUUUUCUUGCCUGGGCAUGAGCAGAGACAGUGCCUGAAGAGUAAACAAGCACCUCUGUUUAUCAUGAGGCACCUCUGCCUGGCACCUGUAGUGCCACAAGAGAUCCCCCAUGGCAUAGGGAGGAAUUACAGAGCAUUCACUCGUAGCCAUCCUGGCAGCUAACUGCUGCAUUUGCAGUGCCUUACAGGAAGGCUGAGUCCCCAUGGCUGCUGCAUGGUGAUGGUUUCUUUACCUCAGCUUCCCUAUCAGCAAAGUGGGAAACAAAGGCACCACAUUGUCCCUUAUGGAGAAGAGAGAAGAAAAGAGGUCAGAAGCCUGAAGCUGUGAGCAGAGACGUGUGUUGGCAAUGGUGUGAGCUAUUUGUGUGCUGCGGUGAGGCCUCGGCACCGCUGACCACGUACAUACAACAGCCUGGGUGUUUGAACUCCACCCCGGGAGGAUUCACUGGUAUGAGAGCAGCACCUGACAUGGAGAUCACCAGGUGCCCAAGAUCAGUUCACAGAUAUUCUGGGAGAAUAUGUAAUCAAACCUGUUCUUUACAUCCCUAAACUAAACAGCCUCCAGGAAGCAAAUAAAUGGUUAAGAAGGCAGGCCAAAAUGCUGAAGGAGAAAGCAACAUUUACUCCAUACUCGUGGCCAAGUUGUAGUGGGAGAGACUGCUGUGUAUACUCACUAAGCGCUGAUCCGUGACCAUGUGGCUCUUUGUAUUAUGUCUAAGAAGGAAAGAAAAACAAGAAAUGGUGACCAGAGUGGGAUUAUAAUCCAGGAAUACAGUGGCUGCUAAAAAGCUCAAGAGGAAACCACAGAAUAGUGGCUUCUGUUAAACCAGUGGGUGAAAUAGUUGCCUAGAUGAUGGGAAUUAUCUCAAAUCCUCUCUCCAUAAAGGCACUUGUGAUGGUCUUGUGUUUAGGCUCCUGAAAAAUGCAAUUUAAAAAAAAUAAAGAAAAAGGAAAAUUAAACAAUUUCUAAAUGUGUGGGGAGGUGGGGAAGUGGGAUGUUUAAGGAAAUUACUAGUGUAUUGCCAGUUUGGAGAGAGUUUACAUACUGUGUCAAGGGAGCAGUUAGUGUGUGGUAUGUAAAAUGAAGCAAUACAAAAACGGUUAUUAACUGAGGCUGAUUUGGCCUUAAAAUGUGCUCUAGGAACUGCUGUGUCAAAGGAUACAGCUACUCCAGAAGACAGGGAGUUGCAACAGCAUCAAACAGCCUGAAACAAAACUUUUUUUGUUCCCUUUUUGGGGGACAGUCUCCCCUUGGAGGUGAAAGUCCUUAAGGGGAGUAUCAAUAUUGAAAAAAUUAAUGAGAGAAAGCUUUGUUGAAAGAAAAACAUUAUUUUAAUUCCACUGUGCUUCUGAGAACCCAUCUGUGGGACAACCUGUGUAGAGGCAAAAUGACAACGUGGGCAGGACCAGGGAUCCUCUCCUCUCCCUCUGCUAAGGGAGGAUGUCAGUGAGGAUGGAGUUUUCCCUUUUGUGGUGGUUCCCUAGUUGCUGUGAACAAAUUUGGAUAUUCUUGGCCUAGGUUUGACUAAGCAAAACUUAUCAAGCCUAUGGGAAUGCUGGCUGAUGGUAAAAAACCCCUGUGAAUAACACACACAAGGUUUUAUUCCAGCACAACAGGCCAACUCUAGGAUAGUUUCCACACCCAUGUUCUGAUGGAGGGUCUUGGCCCUGCUAUUGCAGAACAUUUUUAACUUCAGAGCAAUGCAGGCAGAGAUUAUUGGAAAUGACAACAAGGGGUGUCUGCAGAGGUACUUGUGAGGCUGUCAAGAAUGGCUGUGGAGCAAAUAAGGGAAAAGUGAUUAUUCCAGAGUCUCAGCCAUAUGCUGUGGGUCUUGUAGAUUAUAUUCAUAAAUCACACUGAGGCAUGAGACUAUCCUCAAGGCACCUCAACUACAAGAUAUGUCACAAUUAUCUUCCUUUCUGGGCAGAGGCAGUUAUUACCAAUGGGUCUUGCCCAACACAUCAACACUAUUACACUCCCUAAAUAGACCAGUGCACAAAGGACAGAAGUAAUGUUGAUCCACAUGAUGUGCCAAGGCUCCAGAUGAAGCAAACAACUUUGCAUUUACAGAAAAUGAAACUGCCUGCAGAAUUAGCUUGCAGCACAUCGCCAUGUGCCUGAAACACUGAUGCUGAAAGCCAGACAUCAGGGUAAAAUACUCAAAAGAGCCACACUUGGGGCUCGCUGGCAUCUGUCUGUAGUGCUGUGCUCACACCCAGAGAAAAGACCCAUGGGUCAUCUUGGGAGGUCAGCGGUUUAACCACAGCUUAUCUCAAGAGGAAACAAUUUACUCCGGUUGUGAAUGCUGAAUACUGGCUUCAGUGUUAGCAGGAACAGCCUGGUUAGGAAGAAGGAAGGUUUUCUGGGGUAUUUCCUGCUUGUGUGGUGUGGCAGGAAUGCCUAGUGACUGGUACCACGAGCACCUGGAGAGCGGCAGGUAUCUUAACACAAUGUGAAAGAGAGAACAUGCCGAGGGGACGGAGACAUCUGAUGAUGAAAAGAUGAGGAGAUGGGCUUAGCACGCAGCCUCUUUGAGCCUUCUUGGCUGGGAAGAGAGUACUGAAAUACACAUCCAGGUUGCCUAACGUAUGGCACCAGAGCACUUACUGUAAUAAAUCUCAGGUCUACUGUACUCCAAGAAUUACAUGAUGGCCCUCUGGGAAUGAUAGCUAUGAAAGCCCUGGCUGGAAAUUUGGUUCAGUGGCCAGACACUGAUACACAAAUAGGAGGAAUGGCAAAACAAUGUUAAGGGUAUUAAUAAAGCUAGUUGGGAAAUUUUCCAUCAGAAUAAUUCUCCAAUGGAAAAUGCCAUUUUCACUAACUCAGCAGUUUCUGUAACAAAAUUGCAGAUUUCCAUUGGGAAAAUCAAACUGAAGUAUCCUUGGCUCUUUUUUUGCAAGAAGAAAAUAUAAUUGCCAAGAGCAUUGUAGGCAGGGACUAACAGAAAUUUUCUUUCUGUGCAGAUCUCAGACAGUCAGCCUUCCCUUCAGGUCCAGAAAUCAGAGAUGCAGCUGAGCAGUCAGAGAUCCAAGAAGGCUGGGAGAUGGGAAGUCACCCCCUUAGGUUUUGAUAGCUCACCUGCUCCAGAAAGAAAAUAUAUCCCUACCAGAUGGACAGCCAGGAGGCCAGAAAUUUUCAUGGUUCUUGUAAAGCUUAAUCUUUGCGGAACUCUAAUGAAGACAGGGUUUUUGAUUUUUCAGUUUAGUAUUUUCCUUAAAAAGAAACUCAGCUACUCUUGUUUUCUUUCUUGC